AAAUUGAAGAGUUUGAUCAUGGCUCAGAUUGAACGCUGGCGGCAGGCCUAACACAUGCAAGUCGAGCGGUAACACAGAGAGCUUGCUCUCGGGUGACGAGCGGCGGACGGGUGAGUAAUGUCUGGGAAACUGCCUGAUGGAGGGGGAUAACUACUGGAAACGGUAGCUAAUACCGCAUAACGUCGCAAGACCAAAGUGGGGGACCUUCGGGCCUCAUGCCAUCAGAUGUGCCCAGAUGGGAUUAGCUAGUAGGUGGGGUAAUGGCUCACCUAGGCGACGAUCCCUAGCUGGUCUGAGAGGAUGACCAGCCACACUGGAACUGAGACACGGUCCAGACUCCUACGGGAGGCAGCAGUGGGGAAUAUUGCACAAUGGGCGCAAGCCUGAUGCAGCCAUGCCGCGUGUAUGAAGAAGGCCUUCGGGUUGUAAAGUACUUUCAGCGAGGAGGAAGGCAUUAAGGUUAAUAACCUUGGUGAUUGACGUUACUCGCAGAAGAAGCACCGGCUAACUCCGUGCCAGCAGCCGCGGUAAUACGGAGGGUGCAAGCGUUAAUCGGAAUUACUGGGCGUAAAGCGCACGCAGGCGGUCUGUCAAGUCGGAUGUGAAAUCCCCGGGCUCAACCUGGGAACUGCAUUCGAAACUGGCAGGCUAGAGUCUUGUAGAGGGGGGUAGAAUUCCAGGUGUAGCGGUGAAAUGCGUAGAGAUCUGGAGGAAUACCGGUGGCGAAGGCGGCCCCCUGGACAAAGACUGACGCUCAGGUGCGAAAGCGUGGGGAGCAAACAGGAUUAGAUACCCUGGUAGUCCACGCCGUAAACGAUGUCGACUUGGAGGUUGUGCCCUUGAGGCGUGGCUUCCGGAGCUAACGCGUUAAGUCGACCGCCUGGGGAGUACGGCCGCAAGGUUAAAACUCAAAUGAAUUGACGGGGGCCCGCACAAGCGGUGGAGCAUGUGGUUUAAUUCGAUGCAACGCGAAGAACCUUACCUACUCUUGACAUCCAGAGAACUUAGCAGAGAUGCUUUGGUGCCUUCGGGAACUCUGAGACAGGUGCUGCAUGGCUGUCGUCAGCUCGUGUUGUGAAAUGUUGGGUUAAGUCCCGCAACGAGCGCAACCCUUAUCCUUUGUUGCCAGCGAUUAGGUCGGGAACUCAAAGGAGACUGCCAGUGAUAAACUGGAGGAAGGUGGGGAUGACGUCAAGUCAUCAUGGCCCUUACGAGUAGGGCUACACACGUGCUACAAUGGCAUAUACAAAGAGAAGCGACCUCGCGAGAGCAAGCGGACCUCAUAAAGUAUGUCGUAGUCCGGAUUGGAGUCUGCAACUCGACUCCAUGAAGUCGGAAUCGCUAGUAAUCGUAGAUCAGAAUGCUACGGUGAAUACGUUCCCGGGCCUUGUACACACCGCCCGUCACACCAUGGGAGUGGGUUGCAAAAGAAGUAGGUAGCUUAACCUUCGGGAGGGCGCUUACCACUUUGUGAUUCAUGACUGGGGUGAAGUCGUAACAAGGUAACCGUAGGGGAACCUGCGGUUGGAUCACCUCCUUA
rnacentral:rRNA from 1 species